rnacentral:misc_RNA from 1 species
GAAAUGCGAUAAGUAAUGUGAAUUGCAGAAUUCAGUGAAUCAUCGAAUCUUUGAACGCAACUUGCGCUCCUUGGUAUUCAUUGGAGCAUGCCUGUUUGAGUAUCAUGAAAUCUUCAAAGUAAAUCUUUUGUUAACUCAAUUGGUUUCUACUUUGGUAUUGGAGGUCUUUGCAGCUUCACACCUGCUCCUCUUUGUUCAUUAGCUGGAUCUCAGUGUUAUGCUUGGUUCCACUCGGCGUGAUAAGUUAUCUAUCGCUGAGGACACUGUAAAAGGUGGCCAAGGUAAAUGCAGAUGAACCGCUUCUAAUAGUCCAUUGACUUGGACAAUACUUUUAUGAUCUGAUCUCAAAUCAGGUAGGACUACCCGCUGAACUUAAGC